UGUCUCCACUCCAUACAAGAUGCUCUGGAGGAAGGUGGAAAACCCUUUGCAACUGCCAUCUAAACAUCAGGUUUCCCACAGAGGUUUGCCUGCAAGUGUAACAAGUUCUUUCUUUUUACCUGAAUAAUUGGGUGACUGCCCAGAAAGAAAAAGAAUGAACUCUCCAGCUCCUGUCGGAUCUUCCUGAAAAUAGCUCAAACCCAUAUGGCAUUUGCCUCCUGCUGAUACUUCCACACCAGGAAUCCCUUCAGCAAAGCAACUAAGACUCAAAGAGAAAUACAUAAUAUGUUCUUUGCUCCUUAUGCUCGUAUACCUAAGCCCUGUUCUCUAAAUCAGAGGCCCAGAGAAACCUCUGGUGAAGAUCAGGAAAUCCUACCUACAUUUCAACCUGGAAGCCGAAGAAUUUUCUAUUCUGGCAAAAUGAAUUUUAGGAUGGUGCCCCCAGAAAAGAUUUACAAAGCUACCUCUGUGAGAGAUGGCUGCUUCCAGAUCCCAAAGCCUCUGACUGAAUCAGUAACAGCAACUGCUGAAUGUGAGACCUCUCAAUUUAAUUCCGGGAAUCUGUAUCACCCAAGGAAAGACCUAGCACUACAGUCAACAUAACCCCAGGAUCAUGAAGCCCUGUGGAUUGUAAAUAUGCAAUUAGCAGCUGGAGUAGAAGUAAAAGCAGAAAAUGUCAACUGUCAAGCAGCUCCAUUGAAAGACACAUGAUGCUUCAAGCUAAGACAGAAAGACAAAAGCACCU